rnacentral:rRNA from 1 species
UACGGAGGGGGCUAGCGUUGUUCGGAAUUACUGGGCGUAAAGCGCACGUAGGCGGCUUUGUAAGUUAGAGGUGAAAGCCUGGGGCUCAACUCCAGAACUGCCUUUAAGACUGCAUCGCUUGAAUCAUGGAGAGGCGGGUGGAAUUCCGAGUGUAGAGGUGAAAUUCGUAGAUAUUCGGAAGAACACCAGUGGCGAAGGCGGCCCGCUGGACAUGUAUUGACGCUGAGGUGCGAAAGCGUGGGGAGCAAACAGGG